AGAGUUUGAUCAUGGCUCAGGAUAAACGCUAGCGGCAGGCCUAACACAUGCAAGUCGAGGGGCAGCGGGUGGAGUAUUUCGGUACUCCUGCCGGCGACCGGCGCACGGGUGCGUAACGCGUAUGCAACCUACCUUUAACGAGGGGGAUAAUCCGAAGAAAUUUGGUCUAAUACCCCAUAAUAUCAUUUAAGGCAUCUUAGAUGGUUGAAAAUUCCGAUGGUUAGAGAUGGGCAUGCGUUGUAUUAGCUAGUUGGUGAGGUAACGGCUCACCAAGGCUACGAUACAGUAGGGGGACUGAGAGGUUUUCCCCCCACACUGGUACUGAGACACGGACCAGACUCCUACGGGAGGCAGCA
rnacentral:rRNA from 1 species